CCAAUCUGUAAAGACAGCAGGCUAGACAUGAGGAGUCUGCAGGGCUGAGAUGCCUGGAGGAGGUGGCCAGCACAACCCAGCUCCCGGCCCCCGCCAUCUCUGGGACAGAAAGAACCAACUGUAGCAGAAAAGAGGCCAACUGGGCAGCACCCGCUGCCGUGAGUACCUCCCCCGGUGGCAGCACCAGUGCUGGGUCCCCAGGGACAUUCACAGCAAAAGAAAGAUGCAGAUGAGGGCCCAGUGUGCAGGACCAAGGAAUCUCCCUUGGUGUCUGAAAGUCGGGGUUGAAGGUGGAAUAUCAGAACCACUGACCCCAAAAGUAUCCAUCCACCCAAGCUUUUUAAGAGACCCAGUAGCAUCCACCAGAACAGAAAUGAUAUCUGAGGGAAAGCCCAGCCUCCUAGACCUCAGCACAGUCCAUAUGACCCCUCUCAAGCGUCAUACACAACCACCCUGUGUACUGGGACACUGGGCAGCAUCACCUCAGGGCAGGGCCCCUCCCUAAAUCAUGGUCAUACCGCCUGACGUGGAAAUGGGCCCUUUGCAUACUCACUCAUGACUGCCCAAGACUCCCACAUGCUCAGACUGCACUGUCUCCUUGCACACUUCUCUCUGCACACUCAUGCCCAUACAAAAGACAUGGAUGGCUCCUCCUGCACUUCCACAUGGUCAUUCUCUGACCCGACACUUUGUACAUGCCCCAGGCAGUGUGCACUCACCCUUACAAUUACCCCCACCCAGUCCCUCAGACCCAUACCACCCUCGUGCCAUCUCAGUUCUUCACCCUGCACAUUCCUUGUCCCUGAAUGCUGGAGCUCUACUUGCAUUCACACACAUAGAUACCUUCACACACACACACAUGCACAUGCACACACACAAAACAGUUACUCCACAGUCCCUGGGCCCCCAACUUCCAUGGCUGAGGACUGCAUGGUCAGUGAUAGUUGGUGGGAGAUGUGCUCUGGCUGCUCCGAUGGAAAAAGCCACACUGGGAUGUCAAGGGAGGAGGGGAGCAGAAGAGAUGGAGCAUGGGAACCCUGAGGAGGGAUUGAGGCCCUUAUCUCUGCUCUGUCCCCUUCCAUGACAGCAGGGAGCAGGGAUCCUGGAACCACUUUCUUGAAGGCAUCAAUCUCCCUAAGACUGGCCAGGUUCCCACCCAACAGUUUGGACCCUCUUCCAGGGCCCCAUCCACUAACGACUCACAUUUGCCAAAGGGUGUUCUUGGGCCUGAGGCAGUGCGGGCAAUUCUCCAUAGCGCCCCAAGGACAUGCAUGGUUCCACAAGGCCCAGAGGUGGCAUGCGGCCAAGGUAUGACCACCGGUGGGGAGAUGAUUCCCUGUACGCCAUGUGCAUGUGCAUUUUUCAUGUGACUCGGACACAAAUGUGGUUCUCUACACACUUUGUACAACACUGUUCAGGCAGCGCUUAGUAUGUGCGGGCUCCCAGUUCAGCUCUGGAGGAUCCACUGUUGGCCUUCUUGGUGAGUUUCCUUCCCAGCCUUUCCUGCCAUGCUCUAGUUAAAUCAGACCACAUUUCUCUGCCUCCAGUGGUCUCAAGCUUUCUCUCCAUGUCCUCGACUACACAAGGCUCACUACCCACCGCACUAAACUAGUAAAUCUCUGAGGACAAGACCUGCAUGUGACUUAUCCCUGAAACAUCCUGGUCCAUGAAGGGAGCAGGACCAGCAGCGCCAGCACCAGCAGCCCAGCCAGCACCGCCAGGAGGAUGACCCACCAGGGCACUCCCGCCGUCCCCACCACUGCAGGGUCCAACCCUGCAGCUCACCACUGUGGAGGCAUCUCUGAGCAGCAGGUUUUUGAUGGAAGACUUCACAGUGAUGUUGGCUCGGACAAUCACUUCCAGGGACUUCAUGGCUGAGGUUAAGAGAGUGCUGCAUCUGGACAGGGAGGAGAUCGGAGGAGGGGUCCUGGGGGUGCUGCUGGAGUACAGGACGCCCACCUGGCAUCCAGCACUGCUCUCACCUCCAAGAAGGUGCUGUUCCAGAGCCGGCCCCAGAUGUGCAGCACAGCCGCACGGUCAAAGCUGUAAAGAGGGCAGCUGAACACCACACAGCUGGCCGUACCACGGGCACAGUCCUGCACAGAGACAG